GAUGAACGCUGGCGGCGUGCCUAAUACAUGCAAGUCGAGCGAACGUACGAGAAGCUUGCUUCUCUGAUGUUAUCGGCGGACGGGUUAGUAACACGUGGAUAACCUACCUAUAAGACUGGGAUAACUUCGGGAAACCGGAGCUAAUACCGGAUAAUAUUUUGAACCGCAUGUUUCAAAAGUUAAAGACGGUCUUGCUGUCACUUAUAGAUUGCUCCGCGCUGCAUUAGCUAGUUGGUAAGGUAACGGCUUACCAAGGCAACGAUGCAUAGCCGACCUGAGAGGGUGAUCGGACACACUGGAACUGAGACACGGUCCAGACACCUACGGGAGGCAGCAGUAGGGAAUCUUCCGCGAUGGGCGAAAGCCUGACGGAGCAAAGCCGCGUGAGUGAUGAAGGACUUAGGAUCGUAAAACUCUGUUAUUAGGGAAGAACAUAUGUGUAAGUAACUGUGCACAUCUUGACGGUACCUAAUCAGAAAGCCACGGCUAACUACGUG
rnacentral:rRNA from 1 species